CGGGUUGUAAAGCACUUUUAGUGGGGAUGAAAUGUUCAGGUCUAAUACACCUGGAUUUUGACCUAACCCACAGAAAAAGCACCGGCUAACUCUGUGC
rnacentral:rRNA from 1 species